AUUGAACGCUGGCGGCAGGCUUAACACAUGCAAGUCGAGCGGGGGAAGGUAGCUUGCUACCGGACCUAGCGGCGGACGGGUGAGUAAUGCUUAGGAAUCUGCCUAUUAGUGGGGGACAACAUCUCGAAAGGGAUGCUAAUACCGCAUACGUCCUACGGGAGAAAGCCGGGGAUCUUCGGACCUUGCGCUAAUAGAUGAGCCUAAGUCGGAUUAGCUAGUUGGUGGGGUAAAGGCCUACCAAGGCGACGAUCUGUAGCGGGACUGAGAGGAUGAUCCGCCAAACUGGGACUGAGACAAGGCCCAGACUCCUACGGGAGGCAGCAGUGGGGAAUAUUGGACAAUGGGGGGAAACCUGAUCCAGCCAUGCCGCGUGUGGGAAGAAGGCCUUAUGGUUGUAAAGCACUUUAAGCGAGGAGGAGGCUACUUUAGUUAAUACCUAGAGAUAGUGGACGUUACUCGCAGAAUAAGCACCGGCUAACUCUGUG
rnacentral:rRNA from 1 species